rnacentral:tRNA from 2 species
GGUGGUUUUAGCUCAGUUGGUUAGAGCAUCGGUUUGUGGUACCGAGGGUCGUGGGUUCGAGCCCCAUAUUCCACCC